AUGAGCAAAUUCUCUUUUGCUCAACAACAAUUAGAGUAUUUGGGUCAUAUUAUCUCAGAUAAAGGGGUGGCUACAGAUCCUGAGAAAACUAAAGUGAUGUUGGAGUGGCCUGUUCCUCAAAAUGUCACAGAACUCCGAGGAUUUCUGGGUCUCACCGGGUAUUACAGGAAGUUUGUGCAGCAUUAUGGUAUUAUUGCAAAACCUCUGACACAGCUACUGCAGAAAAAUAAUUUUGCAUGGUCCGAGGCGGCUCAACAGACUUUUGAUAAACUGAAAGUUGCUAUGUCCACUACUCCUGUGUUGUUGUUACCCGACUUUGAUAAGCAGUUCACCAUUGAAACAGAUGCAUGCUCAACGGGUAUUGGAGCUGUUCUUUUGUAA
rnacentral:rRNA from 1 species